rnacentral:rRNA from 1 species
AGUCAGAGGCGAUGAAGGACGUGCUAAUCUGCGAUAAGCGUCGGUAAGGUGAUAUGAACCGUUAUAACCGGCGAUUUCCGAAUGGGGAAACCCAGUGUGUUUCGACACACUAUCAUUAACUGAAUCCAUAGGUUAAUGAGGCGAACCGGGGGAACUGAAACAUCUAAGUACCCCGAGGAAAAGAAAUCAACCGAGAUUCCCCCAGUAGCGGCGAGCGAACGGGGAGCAGCCCAGAGCCUGAAUCAGUGUGUGUGUUAGUGGAAGCGUCUGGAAAGGCGCGCGAUACAGGGUGACAGCCCCGUACACAAAAAUGCACAUGCUGUGAGCUCGAUGAGUAGGGCGGGACACGUGGUAUCCUGUCUGAAUAUGGGGGGACCAUCCUCCAAGGCUAAAUACUCCUGACUGACCGAUAGUGAACCAGUACCGUGAGGGAAAGGCGAAAAGAACCCCGGCGAGGGGAGUGAAAAAGAACCUGAAACCGUGUACGUACAAGCAGUGGGAGCACGCUUAGGCGUGUGACUGCGUACCUUUUGUAUAAUGGGUCAGCGACUUAUAUUCUGUAGCAAGGUUAACCGAAUAGGGGAGCCGAAGGGAAACCGAGUCUUAACUGGGCGUUAAGUUGCAGGGUAUAGACCCGAAACCCGGUGAUCUAGCCAUGGGCAGGUUGAAGGUUGGGUAACACUAACUGGAGGACCGAACCGACUAAUGUUGAAAAAUUAGCGGAUGACUUGUGGCUGGGGGUGAAAGGCCAAUCAAACCGGGAGAUAGCUGGUUCUCCCCGAAAGCUAUUUAGGUAGCGCCUCGUGAAUUCAUCUCCGGGGGUAGAGCACUGUUUCGGCAAGGGGGUCAUCCCGACUUACCAACCCGAUGCAAACUGCGAAUACCGGAGAAUGUUAUCACGGGAGACACACGGCGGGUGCUAACGUCCGUCGUGAAGAGGGAAACAACCCAGACCGCCAGCUAAGGUCCCAAAGUCAUGGUUAAGUGGGAAACGAUGUGGGAAGGCCCAGACAGCCAGGAUGUUGGCUUAGAAGCAGCCAUCAUUUAAAGAAAGCGUAAUAGCUCACUGGUCGAGUCGGCCUGCGCGGAAGAUGUAACGGGGCUAAACCAUGCACCGAAGCUGCGGCAGCGACACUAUGUGUUGUUGGGUAGGGGAGCGUUCUGUAAGCCUGUGAAGGUGUGCUGUGAGGCAUGCUGGAGGUAUCAGAAGUGCGAAUGCUGACAUAAGUAACGAUAAAGCGGGUGAAAAGCCCGCUCGCCGGAAGACCAAGGGUUCCUGUCCAACGUUAAUCGGGGCAGGGUGAGUCGACCCCUAAGGCGAGGCCGAAAGGCGUAGUCGAUGGGAAACAGGUUAAUAUUCCUGUACUUGGUGUUACUGCGAAGGGGGGACGGAGAAGGCUAUGUUGGCCGGGCGACGGUUGUCCCGGUUUAAGCGUGUAGGCUGGUUUUCCAGGCAAAUCCGGAAAAUCAAGGCUGAGGCGUGAUGACGAGGCACUACGGUGCUGAAGCAACAAAUGCCCUGCUUCCAGGAAAAGCCUCUAAGCAUCAGGUAACAUCAAAUCGUACCCCAAACCGACACAGGUGGUCAGGUAGAGAAUACCAAGGCGCUUGAGAGAACUCGGGUGAAGGAACUAGGCAAAAUGGUGCCGUAACUUCGGGAGAAGGCACGCUGAUAUGUAGGUGAAGCGACUUGCUCGUGGAGCUGAAAUCAGUCGAAGAUACCAGCUGGCUGCAACUGUUUAUUAAAAACACAGCACUGUGCAAACACGAAAGUGGACGUAUACGGUGUGACGCCUGCCCGGUGCCGGAAGGUUAAUUGAUGGGGU